rnacentral:lncRNA from 1 species
UGGUGAUAAAAAUAUGAGAUUGUAGCUCAGUGAGUGGAUGAUUUGCAAAUAAGUAAACUUUUUCCAUUGAUGCAUAUUUUCUAAAAAUUUUAACUUUAUUAAAUCCUUGAGAAUUUCUGAAUCUAGUAAUACUUUUAAAAAUUAAACAUAAUUACAUUAUAAAAUUCUUUGUUCUAAAUUCUAGAAAGGUAUCUGUAAGGUAUAACAAAUAUAAAGAAUCUGAUAUUCAUGAAAAUCUAUGAAAUAUUGCUGCUGCUCAAUACUUUAAGCUGAAAGCUUUAUUCUGAAAACUGGAUUAACUGAACUCCAUAAUCUGAAGUCUGAGAACUGAAUAAAUACUGAAAAAUCACACAAAAAAGAGUACCCAAUGAAUAGCCUUACUCAUGUACAGAGUAAUCUCGAUGUACAAGGCAAAGCCAUUCAAAUUUGAUAAUCUGAUAAUCUGGUCAUACGUAUGCAGAGCUGCCCCAAAAGCUAAUCACCCUAGUACACGGCCCAAAGCCUAUGUGUGUAAGAGAGUGGGUCCAAAAACCUCUGUCUGGUCAUACACUAUGGAAACAUAUUCACAAUAGUGCAGAGCGGGUAAAAUCACCAUAACUAGUCAUAC